AUUGAACGCUGGCGGCGUGCUUAACACAUGCAAGUCGAUCGGUAACGCGGGGGCAACCCUGGCGACGAGAGGCGGACGGGUGAGGAACGCUUGGGAAUCUGCCUAUCAGCGGGGGACAACCCGGGGAAACUCGGGCUAAUACCGCAUACGCUCUACGGAGGAAAGCCGGGGACCGCAAGGCCUGGCACUGAUAGAUGAGCCCAAGUCGGAUUAGCUAGUUGGCGGGGUAACGGCCCACCAAGGCGACGAUCCGUAGCUGGUCUGAGAGGACGAUCAGCCACACUGGGACUGAGACACGGCCCAGACUCCUACGGGAGGCAGCAGUGGGGAAUAUUGGACAAUGGGGGAAACCCUGAUCCAGCGACGCCGCGUGGGUGAAGAAGGCCUGCGGGUUGUAAAGCCCUUUCGGUAGGGACGAAAGCUCUCGACCUAACACGUCGGGAGGUUGACUUAACCUACAAAAGAAGCACCGGCUAACUCUGUGCCAGCCGCCGCCGUAAUAC
rnacentral:rRNA from 1 species